UACGUAGGGGGCAAGCGUUGUCCGGAUUUAUUGGGCGUAAAGCGCACGCAGGCGGUCUUUUGCGUUUUGAGUGACAGGUGGGGGCUUAACUCCCACAGGCCUCAGAAGACGGGAAGACUUGAGGGCUUCAGAGGGACGCGGAAUUCCAGGUGGAGCGGUGAAAUGCGUAGAGAUCUGGAAGAACACCAAAGGCGAAGGCAGCGUCCUGGGAAGCAUCUGACGCUCAGGUGCGAAAGCUAGGGGAGCGAACGGG
rnacentral:rRNA from 1 species